ANNNUNNNNCNANGCANNNNNNNNNNUNAGCAUUAUACAGCGAAACUGCGAAUGGCUCAUUAUAUAAGUUAUCGUUUAUUUGAUAGUACCUUACUACUUGGAUAACCGUGGUAAUUCUAGAGCUAAUACAUGCUAAAAAUCCCGACUUCGGAAGGGAUGUAUUUAUUAGAUUAAAAACCAAUGCCCUUCGGGGCUCCUUGGUGAUUCAUGAUAACUUCUCGAAUCGCAUGGCCUUGUGCCGGCGAUGGUUCAUUCAAAUUUCUUCCCUAUCAACUUUCGAUGUUUGGGUAUUGGCCAAACAUGGUUGCAACGGGUAACGGAGGGUUAGGGCUCGACCCCGGAGAAGGAGCCUGAGAAACGGCUACUACAUCCAAGGAAGGCAGCAGGCGCGCAAAUUACCCAAUCCCGACACGGGGAGGUAGUGACAAUAAAUACUGAUACAGGGCUCUUUAGGGUCUUGUAAUUGGAAUGAGUACAAUUUAAAUCUCUUAACGAGGAACAAUUGGAGGGCAAGUCUGGUGCCAGCAGCCGCGGUAAUUCCAGCUCCAAUAGCGUAUAUUAAAGUUGUUGUGGUUAAAAAGCUCGUAGUUGAACCUUGGGCCUGGCUGGCCGGUCCGCCUCACCGCGUGUACUGGUCCGGCCGGGCCUUUCCCUCUGUGGAACCUCAUGCCCUUCACUGGGUGUGGCGGGGAAACAGGACUUUUACUUUGAAAAAAUUAGAGUGCUCCAGGCAGGCCUAUGCUCGAAUACAUUAGCAUGGAAUAAUAGAAUAGGACGUGUGGUUCUAUUUUGUUGGUUUCUAGGACCGCCGUAAUGAUUAAUAGGGACAGUCGGGGGCAUCAGUAUUCAAUUGUCAGAGGUGAAAUUCUUGGAUUUAUUGAAGACUAACUACUGCGAAAGCAUUUGCCAAGGAUGUUUUCAUUAAUCAGGAACGAAAGUUAGGGGAUCGAAGACGAUCAGAUACCGUCGUAGUCUUAACCAUAAACUAUGCCGACUAGGGAUCGGACGGUGUUAUUUUUUGACCCGUUCGGCACCUUACGAGAAAUCAAAGUGCUNNNGCNNNNNNNNNNNNUNGNNNNNNGGNNNNAANCUNNA
rnacentral:rRNA from 1 species